rnacentral:sRNA from 1 species
UGAACCGUGAUCAAGUAAACGCUGGUGAGC